GGCCUGGUAGCACACGGUGUGCAUCCGUACCCUAUUUGCGAGUCAUGAAACAUCCAUGCGGACACCGGAAGGUCCCCGUUCGACUCGGGGCUGGGCCA